rnacentral:rRNA from 1 species
AACGAACGCUGGCGGCAGGCUUAACACAUGCAAGUCGAACGCCCCGCAAGGGGAGUGGCAGACGGGUGAGUAACGCGUGGGAAUCUACCCAGAUCUACGGAACAACAGUUGGAAACGACUGCUAAUACCGUAUACGCCCUACGGGGGAAAGAUUUAUCGGAUUUGGAUGAGCCCGCGUUGGAUUAGCUAGUUGGUGAGGUAAUGGCUCACCAAGGCGACGAUCCAUAGCUGGUCUGAGAGGAUGAUCAGCCACACUGGGACUGAGACACGGCCCAGACUCCUACGGGAGGCAGCAGUGGGGAAUAUUGGACAAUGGGCGCAAGCCUGAUCCAGCCAUGCCGCGUGAGUGAUGAAGGCCUUAGGGUUGUAAAGCUCUUUCACCGAUGAAGAUAAUGACGGUAGUCGGAGAAGAAGCCCCGGCUAACUUCGUGCCAGCAGCCGCCGUAAAAC